CUGUCCUUUUGUCCAUCUUCGUCACCCAUCACCAUCUCAAGGAGAGCUCUAAGUGACCCUGGAAGCAAAUUUCUAUGCAGAACCAUCACUUUAACGGUAAAAGAUUCUCUGUGAUUCCAACAGUGUCCUGCAAGUUCCUGUGUGCUCACCAUUUUCAUCCCCAGUAUGACUCUGGAGUUGAAUAUUCCACCAAAGUCUGCCACAUUAAAGAUGGAUACCUUUAUUUCUACAAUAGCUGAGCAUCGGUCUGACCUCAGUCUACUGAGACAAAUUCAUCCUGAGAUACAUUUAUGUGCACUGUGCAUGUAUACAGAUGGGCCAGGGACACUUAGCUAGGUACUUUACUUCAAUUACAGCUAAGAAAAUUUUGCCUUUGAAGUUUUGAUUAUAUCAGACCUUAGAAGUGGGCCAAAUUUUUCUCGGUAAAAUUAUCCUUUCAAAUUUUAUCUGGGAGUGUCAAAUUCACUCUAUUUCUUAAAUGUUACUUGUGAAAGUAAAUGAAGACCACCCAAAAAGAAAAAGCAAAGUCUCGUUAUUUAGAGCUUGCAAGUGAACCAACCACCAUCACUUGGGUUUGGCCAAUGCAAAGACGGGUGGGGAGGGAGAGAAGCUUGUCAGUGAUAAACAGAGAAGCAUUUAGGUUUGCUCUGAUGGAUGAAUAUUGGUUUUGGGGAGGUGCAUGUGAACAGUCUAGAAGAAUGGCCUUCUAUAUGAUUGUUUGAGGAGUAUAUUAGGCUUUCUCUGGUUGGUCCUCAGUUAGGAGCUAGGCGAAAACAUGGGAAUCUGUCAAUCGUUGAAUGACCAAGUCCUGACUAUUUUGGGCCUGUUGCUACAGAGAUUUUGGGUUGGUUUCUUGAGCCUAAGUUUGGUGAAGUAGUGGAUUAGUGUUUUAUUGUCAUGUAUGGUCUUGCCAUAUCUUUUCUCUCAAACUCUGGAAUAGACCUUCUCUGAAAAUGGAUUUAAAAAGAAACUCAAAGCCCAGCAAUAACAAUGCUUUGCACUCUGGCAAAAAAAAAUU